rnacentral:rRNA from 1 species
AUUGAACGCUGGCGGCAGGCCUAACACAUGCAAGUCGAGCGAGCGGCGGACGGGUGAGUAAUGUAUGGGGACUGCCCGAUAGAGGGGGAUAACUACUGGAAACGGUAGCUAAUACCGCAUACUAUCGGAUAACCCAUAUGGGAUUAGCUAGUUGGUGAGGUAAUGGCUCACCAAGGCGACGAUCCCUAGCUGGUCUGAGAGGAUGAUCAGCCACACUGGGACUGAGACACGGCCCAGACUCCUACGGAGGCAGCAGUGGGGAAUAUUGCGCAAUGGGGGCAACCCUGACGCAGCCAUGCCGCGUGAAUGAAGAAGGCCUUCGGGUUGUAAAGUUCUUUCGGUAGCGAGGCGUUAACUACAGAAGAAGCACCGGCUAACUCCGUGCCAGCAGCCGCGGUAAUUC